CCCAGCACACCGCCACCCAGGCCCUUCACUCUUCUACUGAACCACUUUCUUCCAUGUGCACACGCUGAUUUCUCAACCUGGAAUCAUUUCCCUACACCUUUCCUCAAAGGACUGUUAAUGAGUUUUCAGAGGAUGGAGUAGCAGUCUGUUGCCCAGGCUGGAGUGCAGUGUUGCGAUCUCAGCUCACUGCAACCUCUGCCCCCCGGGUUCAAGCGAUUCUCCUGCCUCAGCCUCGCGAGUAGCUGGGACUACAGGUGUCAGGUACUUCACUGAAAUGUAACUACCACAAUGCAUCCUUUCCAUGUGACUAACUUCGCUCAUGGACCAGAAUCACUGUGGCUCUGCCCUGGAGUGGUGCAAAGGAGAAAAUAAUACGAAUUGUAAAAGUAGUUCAAAUAUAUGUUUUGGGAGGCUCUGCUGCCUCCAGUAUGUGGUUUCUAGAAAGCCGGUUUUUGACCUCUAACAUACGGGCACAUUUUCUAUGAUGAGCAUAUAGCUCCCAGGAUGGAGAGAUGCUAACAUUCUUAGGAAUAAAGGAUGAUCCACCCAGGGAUCACUGGGGUAAAAAUCAUUUUAAGGCCAUGGCUGUAAUCAACAGAAGUCAAAGAUGUCUAAGAGCAGACUGUAAUUCCACACCUUCACAUAAGGCAGGAGUACUGCAGCACUGCCUAGAAAGAGAUAACAGCAGCUCAGAAUUAAGUCAACCUAGAAUCCUGCAGGUAAUAUGUAUUUUUAUUCAUUUGUUCAUUCACUUGUUCAGACAUUCGACAAAGAUUCACUGAUGCCAGGCACUCUUCUGGAGAACAGGGAUAUGGAAAUAAAUGAGACAUAUUCUUGCCUUCCAGGAGCUCGCAUUCUGUUUGGAAAGCAAAUUAUUUAAAUCCAGUAGAGGACUCUCAAAUGUGGUUGGAAAAUCUAAGAAGACUUCCCAGAGGCAGCAGCACUAGUGUUAGGGAAAGAGCUCACAAAUUCCAUUGCUGUAGAAUCCAUGUGUUGAAGACCGCUACACUGGAAUCUAGUUUUCUAUCCUAAAAUCUACCUCCUGAGUUUGAGUAAGACUUGAACUAGUUUGCAAAUAUCUGUGAUCUUCACCUUGCCUGCCUGCAAAGCCCAUAAGCAAGUUCAGAAGAGACUUCUACUUGUCCAAAGCAACAUGGAGUAAAGUGGGUCAACUAGAAUUAAAAUAUGCUCCAGCCAAAGGUUUGUCUCAUAGAAAAUGGAAAAAAAUAAAUGCUACAGAUAUAGUGAAGUUCCUUUGAUAAAUGAGAGUGACUCACAAUUGGGGCCAUUUUUAGAAAAUGUAAAGAAAAAUUAUGCUAACCAACCCAGAGCUCCACUCGCAUUAUUUUAAAAGUAGCUAAUGAGAUUUGAUAAAUCUCUAGAUGGUGAUAGGAAAAAAAAAGUGCUCUAAAGAUCUCUAAGAUUGAAGACACAAAUGGCCCAAGUUUUAGACACUUCCUCCCAGUUUAUUCUAUAACCAAACAGAAGUUCGACAGGGUUGAGCUACACACUGCACAGGUGACACAGUUCUGGUUCGCACAUGGGCUUCCAAGUGGGGCAAAUCUGUGUGGCCUCAGCACAUUAUGCAAACAUGCAGAACCUCCAUUUCCUUACCUGUUAAGUGGCAGUGAUGACACCUUACUUGAGGGGCUAUCACAAAAGUUAAAUGAGGUACAGUACCUGACACAUAACAGCAUAGUUCAUACUCACCUAGAUUUAAGCAUGAGCUCUACCAUGUACUGAACAUAUGGGGCAAAUUACCCAACUUUUCUAAAUCUCAGUUUCCAUAUGUGUAAAAUGGAUCCAUAAAACUUUAUAGGUAUUAUGAGAAUUAAACGAGUAAUUGCAUACAAAGUGCUGAGCUCAAUAGUUGUUAGCUCUCAUUGAAUUACUAGAUAAACAGUGACCAUGGAAACCUAUUGAUAAGGCUCUGGGGUCAGAUUCAUCUCUGUUCAGACAACUCUAGCGGUGUGACUCUGAGCAAGUGUUUUUUAACCUAAGUUCCUGCUUCCUCAACUGCAAAUGUAGGAAUGGUAACAUCUUCCUCAAAGUUGUAUGCUGGGGAUAACACAUGAAGGAGAUGCCUGGGCCAUAUAAUUAUUUAAGAAAUGUUCAUUUCUUUCUUGAACUACCUUCUACCAACUAUUUGGUCUGAGUUUAUGAAACUGUAAAUUUUGUCUAACAUUUGCCUAACAAAGCAUUAUUACCUUGCUUAAAGAAACACACAAUACAUUCUAAACCAAAAAUAAUUUGAAUGUAAUCCAUUAUUUUGGAUUAAUCUAUAUCAUCACUCCCCUCCCUUAGAGAAGACAGGCCAAGAGUUGGUUGCAAUAAUUUUUGAAGUAAAUUGAAGACCUUAUAAUUAACACUUAAGUCGGAGAAGUUAUUAUAUUUUCCAGUGUUUCAGUAUUUACAGUCCAAAAUAGUGUUCAUCCUCAGAAUAUAAAGCCCU
rnacentral:lncRNA from 1 species